AGGAUGAACGCUGGCGGCGUGCCUAACACAUGCAAGUCGAACGUCCUGUCUCGCAAGAGGCAGGGAGUGGCGGACGGGUGAGUACCACGUGGGUCAUCUACCGUGAGGUGAGGAAUACCGGCGAGAAAUCGCCGACAAGACCGCAUAGGCUCGAUGCAAGUCGAGCAAAGCUCUUUCGAGAGAGGGAGCGCCACACGAGGAGCCUGCGCCCGAUUAGCUAGCUGGUGGAGUAACGGUUCACCAGGGCGACGAUCGGUAGCUGGUCUGAGAGGACGAUCAGCCACACUGGGAUUGAGAACGGCCCAGACUCCUACGGGGGGCAGCAGUGAGGAAUUUUCGUCAAUGGGGGCAACCCUGAACGAGCAACGCCGCGUGCAGGAAGAAGGUUUCGGAUCGUAAACUGCUUUUCUCGGGAAGAGAACGGACGGUACCCGAGGAAUCAGCCCCGGCUAACUACGCGCCAGCAGCCGCGGU
rnacentral:rRNA from 1 species